GACGAACGCUGGCGGCGUGCUUAACACAUGCAAGUCGAACGGAAAGGCCCUGCUUUUGUGGGGUGCUCGAGUGGCGAACGGGUGAGUAACACGUGAGUAACCUGCCCUUGACUUUGGGAUAACUUCAGGAAACUGGGGCUAAUACCGGAUAGGAGCUCCUGCUGCAUGGUGGGGGUUGGAAAGUUUCGGCGGUUGGGGAUGGACUCGCGGCUUAUCAGCUUGUUGGUGGGGUAGUGGCUUACCAAGGCUUUGACGGGUAGCCGGCCUGUGAGGGUGACCGGCCACAUUGGGACUGAGAUACGGCCCAGACUCCUACGGGGGGCAGCAGUGGGGAAUAUUGCACAAUGGGCGGAAGCCUGAUGCAGCAACGCCGCGUGCGGGAUGACGGCCUUCGGGUUGUAAACCGCUUUCGCCUGUGACGAAGCGUGAGUGACGGUAAUGGGUAAAGAAGCACCGGCUAACUACGUG
rnacentral:rRNA from 1 species